rnacentral:lncRNA from 10 species
UCAGGAAACACAAAUUUAAAAUGCCAUGAUACUCCAUAACACACCCAUCAGAAUGGGUAACAUUUAAGAGACAGGGAAAGCCACUGGCUUAUAAAAAUGCAGAGCAACUGUAACUCUUGUUGCUGGCAAGAGAAUACAAUACUGUAAACAAACAGAUGCCUGUAAUCCCAGCAGUUUGGGAGGCCGAGGUGGGCUGAUCCCUUGAGCUCAGGAGUUUCAGACUAGACUGGGCAAGAUGAGGAAAACUCAUCUCUACCAAAAAAAUUCAAAGAAUUAGCCAGGACUAUAGGUGUGCCUGUAGUCCCAGCUACUCAGGAGGUUGCAGUGGGAGGAUUGCUUGAGCCUGGGAGGCAGAGGUUGCAGUGAGCUAAGAUUACACCACUGAAGUCCAGCUUGGGCUACAGGGUGAGACCCUGUCUCAAGGAAGGAAGGAAGGGAGGGAGGGAUGGUGGGUCCAGGUGCGGUGAUUUACCACUGUAAUCCCAGCACUUUGGGAGUCUGAGUCCAGUGGAUCACAAAGUCAGGAGAUGAAGAUGAUCCUGGCUAACACAGUGAAACCCCCAUCUCUACUCAAAAUACAAAAAAUGAGCUGGGCGGCAUGGCACAUGCCUGUAGUCCCAACUGCUUGGGAGGCUGAAGCAGGAGAAUCACUGGAACCUGGGAGGCGGAGGUUGCAGUGAGCCGAUAUCAUACCAAAACCACAAUAUCAGAGAUGAUAAAUUCGCUGGAUGGGAUUAACAGCAGAUUAGAUGUUGCAGAAGAAAUGAUCAGGGAACAUGGAAUCAUGAAUAAUUGAAAAUAUGCAAAAUGAAACUCACAGACAAAAGAGAUUUUUUUUAAUGAAAAGAUUAUCAGUGAACUGUAGGGCAGACUUAAGAGGUCUAAUUUUUGAGUAAUGGGAGUCCCUGAGAAGGAGCAGGGAGGAAAGGAAACAUUUAUUUUCUUUCUUUGUUAUUUUUCUUAGGAAUGGGGUCUCAGUAUGUUGCCCAGGCUGGUCUUGAAUUUCAGGCCUCACUCAACACCUCCCGACUUGGCCUCCCAAAGGUGUGAGCCACUGUGCCCAGCCAAUUUCUGAAGAAAAAUAGCUGGAAAGUUCCCAAUCAUAACAAAAAUUAUAAAUCCAGUGACCCAAGGAGCUGAGGAAACCAAAGCGCAAGAAACAUGAAUAAAACCACUCCUAGAUACAUCAUAAUAACAUUGCUCAAAUCUGGCCAGAAGAAAAAGACAUUGUACAUACACAGGAGCAAAAAUGAGGAUUGCAUCAGCUUCCUUUCUGCUCUUGCCGGCCUCUACCAGGAGCAGCAAUGCACACGAGCAGACAGAGAAGCAACAUCUUUAAGGUACUGAGGGCAGGAGAAGUUAAUGUAGAAUACUAUGCCAGAAAAAAUAAAUUCCCAAAAGUGGAAGUGAAAUAAGGACAUUUAGAGAUGUACAAAAGCUGACCGAAUUCACUACCAGUCAACCCACACUACAAGAAACAUCAAAUGAGUCCUCCAAGCAGAAGGAAUCCAAUACCAGAUGAAAAUCCAGAUCUCCACGAGGAAAUGAAGAACACCAGAAAUGGAUCGGCCCUUUCUUCAAAUAAGAGCAGUUGGAAUAACAAAGCUGUUCAGUUGUACCCUUGGAAUCCACUGAAAUCCUGGGUAGGGAAGCUCCAGUACCACCAACUGGAAAGACUGGGAAUGCCUAAUAGCUGGUACUGGCCAUUGUCGUAGGCUUUGUCCACUCUGACAAACUGAAGAUGGGGACUCGACUCACCUUCGCCAGCCACAGGAGGACCUCCAGACGAGGACAGGACUCGCUGCCUUUCUUUCCCGUCAGAAAGGGAUCCCUUGCGGACAGGACCUAAGUGAGUAGCUGGUUUCCCCUACUUGUCCUUCCGGGCCUGGGUGUCUCGGGGGCUCAGGCUGACGGGAGACCUAACUACCGGCGAGUGAGACCAGCAGGAGCCUGGAGGGGCGCGCACCAGGGUGGAGGUUUGGUGCCGGGGGUUGAGAACAACAGUCAAACCCUCUUCUUCCCCUGGCACCACGCACCUGCCCCCCGGGAUGCCGAACGAAGUGGUCCCUAAAGCUCCUCUGCAGGCCCAACCGAAACAGGCCUGAAGCUCCAGGAUGGGCGAGAGGAUCCUCUUUGAGCGAAACCAGCCUUCUGCCUGGCUGGCCCUGGUCAACACCCUGGGAAGAGGCCGAUUUGGCGGACAGAACGGAAGAAAAGACCUAAAGGUAGAAUCUCAUGAUGUCGAGAUGUUAAAACACUCAAAUUUUAAGGUUCGACUGUGAGGGGGAGAUAGGGGGUCUCGAGCUGGAUCGACCCCUGAGCCUUCAUCUGCAGAGUCCUGUGCACCAGCUCAGAGGACAGGACUAUGUGCACCAAUGGUUCUCAUCAGGCGGCAACUUCACCCUCACAUGCCUCCCCCAUCCCUGCUGGUACACAAGACCACGACUAGGGGAAGCCCGGAGGGAGAAUGUUAACCCCUGGCAUCUAUCUAGUCAGCAGAGGUGAGGGAUGCUGCUAAACACCUUACAAUCCACCGGAGGACACCCGCCCCCACCGACCCCGAAGUAGCCAUUCCCUGGAGGUGGGGAAACUCGCCUGUAGAUCAAUGCCCACGCACUUGGCGGACAGGAAAUCACGAAUUGGCCACUAACUGGAUCUUGGAUCUGAGGAAAAAAUUCCAGCGUCAGAGGGAACUCUCGGAGAUUUGCCCAGAGCAUAAGGAACGUACUCCUUCCCUCAGUGAUGGAUCCUCACAUCUGGGGGAAAUCAUAGACAAUUUCUUUUGUAGGGCGAACUCUGCUAUACAGUUUAUGAUGUCAGAGUGAAUACUUUCUUUGAGUUGCAGUCAGAAACUGUAGAUUUUUAAAAAUUUAAAAUUCAUUAUUCUCUGUCAGUAUUCCAAAGUGUAUACAGAAAGCUAUUGCACUGUUCAGGAGAUGGCGCUUAACAUUUUGGAAAUUCAAGGUGAUGAAUGUCCAGAUAAGACUAUCUCUCCUGGUACAAAGUUUGACAAUGCUGAACACUUUUAAAGGUUCUUUUUGAUAUACAAAGUGCACCAAUGAGUGCUUUUUAAUUCUUACAAUAAUUCUGGGUGAGGUAGGUAUUUUUCCAAUUCCCAUUUUAUGCUUCGGUAGCCCUUUGUAUUUAUACUUCAAAACACUUGGCUCUCUUGUAAUUAUUUAAGAAAUUAGUUGUGAUUAUUUGUUUAAUGUGCAGGAGUUACAAAAGGCAAGCUUUAGAACAAGACAGACCUGGUUAUGAUUCCUGGCUCUGAAAGCUGUACACCCUGUGACCCUAGACAGGUGUUUUAAUGCCUCGCUGCCUCUGUUUCUUGCUCUGUAAAAUGUGAACAAUAACAGUAUUGGCCUCAUGCUUUUUUUGGGUUUUAAAAGUAAUAAUGUGGACAAAGAUCAGUGGAGUGCCUGGCAUGCUGAACCCAUUCCAUGACUGUUAGAUAUAGUUGUUAUGAUUUGUAUCAAUCCAUUUUCACACUGCUAUAAGGAACUACCUGAGACUGGGUAAUCUAUGAAGAAAAGAGGUUUAAUUGACUCACAGUUCUGCAUGGCUGGGAGUCCUCAGGAACUUACAAUCAUGGCAGAAGGGGAAGCAAGACAUUUCUUAUAUGGCAGCAGGACAGAAAGAGAGAGAGUGAAGGGGGAAGUGCCACACACUUCCAAACAACCAUAUCUUGUGGUUAAUUAAAAAGUACUCAUUGGUGUGCCUUGUAUAGAAAAAAAUAUACACUCACUAUCAUGAGAACAGCAAGGAGGGAGUCUGCCCCCAAGAUUCAAUCACCUCCCAGUAGACCCCUCCCCUGACAUGUGGGGAUUACAAUUCAAGAUGAGAUUUGGGUGGGGAAACAGAGUCAAACCAUAUCGUGAUUGUUCUAUAAUAAAGAGAUGCCCACAUGUGUUUCAUCAGGGACAGUGCUCAUUAACCAGUUGUCCUGCCGUAAUUAUUAAUAGUAUCCCCUUUGCUUUCAAAAGUGUCCUAGUUUACAAAAAGUAUAGAAAUGGAGGACAGAAUAGUGGUUGCCCAAGAUUGGAAAAGGGUAAGGGUAAAGGGUGCAGAGGUGGAUGUGGUUAUAAAAGGCAACAUGGGAGAUCCUCGUAGUGAAGGAACUGUUUAGUAUCUCCACUGUGGUGGUAGAUACCCGAACCUAAACAUGUGAAAAAUUGCAUGAAACUAAACACACACACAAACAAGUACAAGUUAAGUUAGGAAAAUCCAAAUAAGAUUUCUACAUUGUAUCAAUAGGUAUAUCUUGAUUAUGAUAUUGCAAGAUGGUACUAUUCAAGGAAACUGGGUAGAGGCUACAUGAGACUCCCCUGUAUUAUUUCCUAUAACUCCAUGUGAAUCUACAAGGAUCUCAGGAUUAAGGAAGAUAUCCUAGUUUGGAAGAUAAAAAAUAUAUCCCAGUAGUAAUAUCCACUGUCCCACCAGGGCCUGACUACCUUCUAUAAAAAGAAGUGCCUUUGUUCCCCUCAAGUUCCUUUAUUUGGUUUUAUUCUUCUUCACAGUACCUACCUCCACUUGGCAGAUUACAUUUAUUUUUUCAUCUUUCAACAGCUAUUUACUGAAUGCCUACUAGAUGCCAGGCUUGAGAUCUAGCAAUGAACAAGAUCUCUGUGAAACUUACAUUCCAGGAGGAGAAAUAAAUAAUAAACCAAAAAUAUAAUCAGUAAAUUAUUUAAUAUGCUGGGAAACAAUAUGUGUAAUGGAAGAAAUAUGUAAAGUGAUGGAUUAGGGUUCUCCAGAGAAACAGAACCAACA